UUACGGCCACAUCACGUUGAAACACCGGUUCCCGUACGCUCACCGAAGUUGAGCAAUGUCGAGCUGGGUCAAUACAUAGACGGGUGACCGCUUGGGACUACCAUGUGCUGUUA